rnacentral:misc_RNA from 1 species
AUUUUGUCCUUACCCUAUAUUAUAUUGCAGUUGAAUGUUAAUAAAUUCUGAACUACUGAUCUUGUGCAUAGAUGAACAAUAUAGACCAUUGGUUUAGUUUGAAAUUUUUCCUAGUAACCUGUUUACUUGUAUUAUUCACAAUCAUGUCUGUACUAUACAGUUAAAGUCCUGUACUUUGUAACAGUCAUAUCUUCUGAAUGAUAAACUAUUAACUUUUGGCCAUUCAAAUUAAACCAGGCUGUUCUGGCCCAUGAGCUG